CUCCUGACCAGACCUUCCUCGGUUAAUUUUGGCGGAAAAGUUCGAGAUGGUGUUCGGUGUCUGAUAAGGAAAAGCUCAGAAACUGGAAAGGAGCCCAGUGGUGGACCAGGAGCCCAGUGGUGGACCAGGACCAGGAGCCCAGUGGUGGACAAGGAGCCCAGUGGUGGACCAGGAGCCCAGUGGUGGACCAGGAGCCCAGUGGUGGACCAGGAGCCCAGUGGUGGACCAGGUCUUGAAUAACUGGGUCAUUGAUUUGUCCACCCUCCUGCCUGGAUAAGACAUACUCCUAAAAGAUCCCGGCUCAGAUGGAAAUGAUCAGCUCCUUCCUUCAUUGAUAUUGCAUAGGCGGACUGCGGAUAUUGCACAUGAUGGAGGCAGAGUUUCUCAGGAUUACCACUACUCCCCUUCUCUCAAAGUUCCUUGGACAAAUAGACCAGCACACUGAUCAGCUAUUCAAAGUGUUCAGGAACAAACGAGGCUCUGCAGGGAGGAAAGUCCAAAUGAUACUGGCCCCAAUGACAGAGAAUGAAACUGUUGAAAAGAGGAGGGACUGCAUCCUCAGGGCGCUUUGCAUUUACCUGAACGAAGACCCCAACAUGCUCUUCAAAGAAUACCAGGACAGCAAUGUUAGAGCUGCUGAGAGGGAGCAUGAGCAGCUUUGCCAUCUACAGCAUCAGUGUUGAGGGAGGUGAUGCCCCCCCCCCCAGCCGGUGUUGGAGUUGUGAUUGAGGGUGUUGAAGUACUGCACAACUUGGGAGACAUUGCCUGUGCAUGUGCACUCUUAAUGGGUGUAAUUUAUGCACUGAACCUCGGUUAUCCCAAGGAACUGAAAGCCUUAUUUGAAGUACUUCAGAAGCUCUUCCUUCAAAUGGAUGCUUGCAGACUCUCAACUAAGGUACAGCUGC